rnacentral:rRNA from 1 species
GACGAACGCUGGCGGCGUGCCUAAUACAUGCAAGUAGAACGCUGAAGAGAGGAGCUUGCUCUUCUUGGAUGAGUUGCGAACGGGUGAGUAACGCGUAGGUAACCUGCCUUGUAGCGGGGGAUAACUAUUGGAAACGAUAGCUAAUACCGCAUAACAAUGAGUGACGCAUGUCAUUUAUUUGAAAGGGGCAAUUGCUCCACUACAAGAUGGACCUGCGUUGUAUUAGCUAGUAGGUGAGGUAACGGCUCACCUAGGCGACGAUACAUAGCCGACCUGAGAGGGUGAUCGGCCACACUGGGACUGAGACACGGCCCAGACUCCUACGGGAGGCAGCAGUAGGGAAUCUUCGGCAAUGGGGGCAACCCUGACCGAGCAACGCCGCGUGAGUGAAGAAGGUUUUCGGAUCGUAAAGCUCUGUUGUAAGUCAAGAACGAGUGUGAGAGUGGAAAGUUCACACUGUGACGGUAGCUUACCAGAAAGGGACGGCUAACUACGUGCCAGCAGCCGCGGUAAUACGUAGGUCCCGAGCGUUGUCCGGAUUUAUUGGGCGUAAAGCGAGCGCAGGCGGUUUGAUAAGUCUGAAGUUAAAGGCUGUGGCUCAACCAUAGUUCGCUUUGGAAACUGUCAAACUUGAGUGCAGAAGGGGAGAGUGGAAUUCCAUGUGUAGCGGUGAAAUGCGUAGAUAUAUGGAGGAACACCGGUGGCGAAAGCGGCUCUCUGGUCUGUAACUGACGCUGAGGCUCGAAAGCGUGGGGAGCGAACAGG